GACGUAGGAGGCGAGCGUUAUCCGGAUUCACUGGGCGUAAAGCGCAUGUAGGCGGUUGUGUAAGUCCGCUGUUAAAGCCCCCGGCUCAACCGGGGAGGGUCAUUGGAAACUGGGGAACUUGAGUGUAGAAGAGGAAAGUGGAAUUCCACGUGUAGCGGUGAAAUGCGUAGAGAUGUGGAGGAACACCAGUGGCGAAGGCGACUUUCUGGUCUAUAACUGACACUGAGGCGCGAAAGCGUGGGGAGCAAACAGG
rnacentral:rRNA from 1 species